GACUAUCUUGAUUCUGUCAUAAAUUUGUCAUGGAUGUACAUACAUGACAGAAAACGCGACCUACUGUGACAAACACGUAUCAUCACGGAAGUGCAUUUUUUUUUGUAGUGCAUACAAGGUCGGAAUGCGAUGACUCGACAUGACGCAACCAGCACGAAGCUGGAGUUGCAGCAGAAUCUCGACCAUGAAAAAUGCACUUUCUUUUUGUGGGUGAAUGAAAAAUGCACUCGAGACCAUCAUCAGGCUAGAAGCAUUUAGUUCAUUGUUCAGCUCAUACAAGGUCUGCUACCUACUACUCCUAUGGACCUAUCUAGGUUAAAAAUCCUGCUACACCGAGACCGAGAGUGCGACGACUCUACAUGCAACCAGCACGAAAUUGCAGCAGUCUCCAGCAUAGAGAAGAAAUUGCUUCUCUAGCAAACUGCAAAAGAAACAAACAUAUUUGGCAUGUCAGAAUUUAUACGGAUAGAUCAGAACUGUAUACAAGGCGUUUUAUUCAGUACUGUAACUGCUGAUCGAGUCUUAAGGGGGCUCAGUGAGGCAAGAGAGGCAGAACCUUUCUGCGAAGACCAUCGGAUUUAAGAGAAACACUAUCCUAGCAGUUUUUACUUUCUAUGAGAGCAUCUAAGAUGUCGAUUGACUAGUUUGGGAGUUUGCCCGCCAAGAAGUCCCAGAGUUCGUACAUAAACCGCAAUUUCCCGUGUAUUUUCAUGAUAAGUAAAAAGCAACAAAAUAAAGUGCCAGUUUCACAUGUCAGGCUCUAAACCUCAAGCCAAUAGGGAAAUGGACGAAACGACGAGUGCGUUUCGCGAGAACAUCCAACUCCAGUGCAAGAAACACAGUUAUGUUUGCUCAUAACUCGUAAGCAAACGAGUUUGUAAUUUCAUCCACAAACUGAGUUUGGCCAAUUAUGAAAUCGGUGACCGGGCAAACGGUAAAGAAAUAUUUAAUGCAGGUAUUCCGUAACCUAGGCAAACAACGGUAUAAGAACAAUGUACCUGCCCCGAUCAAUCAUUGUAUCAGAAUUCAGAAGCACACAACUUCAUUAGUGUUCGUCCUCAUCGUCAGAAGUUUGGUCAUUUCCAUAACCUGAACUUGCCCUAAUUAUGUAAACCUGCACCAUUUACAUAGAAUAAGUCACAUAAUAUGCACUUAGCAGUAAGAUAAAAUGGCCUCCCCAUGAUCAGGCCUUAAAAGAACCCCUUCCAUUAAAUGAAGGCAACUGGUACUGACAUUGAGAAAUUGUAUCGUUUCCUGCAAACUGUGUGCAGAAUUGGCAGUCCAAACAGGCCUAACUUCUUAUCUUUCAAUAUGUAGACACAGCUCACUGGUUUCAACCAUGGAUAAAGCAUAUAACCUGCUUUAUAAUUUAAAUCUAGGACAUGCCAAAAACAUUGAAGUUUGAUACUACACAAUGACUUGGUCUAGUUUGGUUAUUAUGCAGCCAUAACAGGUUUUUCCCAUGUAGGAGUAGUAUACGACCACAUUUGGAACAAGUUAUAUAUAUGCCCUCGUACCGAAUGUGGAGUUCCUGGUAGUAAAAGCAGAGCGAUUUUAUCCAUGGAAUGGUGAAGAUGCUAAAUAUAUAUAUGCACACUUGGAACCGCAAUUUCCCAUAUAUAAUCUGACCUUGAACUUUGUCCCGUCUGUGAGUUGGAAAACCAAGCAAUCGCCAUCGGCGAGGUCAUGGUGGGCGGCGAACCGUCUCCACCCCUGGCUGAGGUAGCAGUGUCUGCCCAGUUUGCUGGCAUUGUACAGCAUGUGGAACUCGUCACCAGCCUCAUCCACCAAGACGACCGCCUCGUCGUGCGCCGGGAGAUGCUGGAUGAAGUGCUUGGGGAUUGUCUGUCACAACACAAUGCAUAUAACCCACCUAAUGAACAUCCAAUCCGACCCAAGAACCACAUCCAGAUCCAGUGCAAGUUUUUUGGCUAUAAUACCAUCACGGCUGCCCUGCUGGCGCAGUCGUGGGUGAUGGGCUUGACGAAGGCGGGCCAGAGGAUGCCGUGAAUCCGGCGCUGGAGCUCCUCCGCCUUUUGUUUGGCGGCGGCGGCGGCCCUCUGUUCGUCGGUCGGUCCUUUCCAAAUAGUAGCGCCAUAUGCGGCGUACAUUCCCUGGUGGUCGCGCUGCCGUGCGCCCUCGAGGUAGCUGGGCUGCUCCGGGAGGCCGGCGACGCGGCCGGACCGCCGGAGCUCGCCGGGCUCCGGGGCCUUGCGCUUCUGCGGCACCGAGGCAGCGGAGCAGUCAUCAUAUAAGUAGGUGAGAAAAGGAAAUGGGAGACCGGAGGCAAGGAAGGAAGAAGGGGGAGGAUCUGACGGACCGGCCUGGGGUUGGGCUUGGGCUUGGGCCUGGCGGCGGCCUCGCGGACGGCGGCGGAGAGGUGGUGCAGGCGGAGCUCCUCCAGCUUCCGGCGGUUCUCCUCCAUCUGCCUCCGGCGCUGCUCCUCGUACGAGUUCGAUUCCGCCAUUUCCCCUUCUGGAUUCUGCUUCCUUCCCCCUCCUUCACUCUGCUCGUGAAUGCGGGACGGUAGCAGACUCGUCAAUUCAAUUCAAGGCAGCAGUGGCCAACCGCCCACCCUCAGCUUCCGCGGUUUUUGCGAUUCCCUCGGUUUCAGUACCCCCUCCAAAGUCCAAACACGAAAAUGCCCGGCGUAGGACGGGCUACAUAAAGCCCAUUUUCAAAGGACGUCGAUAACUCCCGACCGUUCCGUUUAGGUUGCUCCCAGUCCGAACGUUCGGGACAAGAGGGGCAUCGAUCGAACAACUCAGUUCGGGAAUAGAGCGCCCCAGCCCGAACAACCCACGCACCAGGCCCUGGAGGCCUUAUUCCUGUGAAAAGAAAAAUGAAACAUAAAGCCCAUAUUAAGUUAUGACAAGUAAAAAGCCCAGUUUUUCUGUGAAUAAUAAACACGGGUCUUUUGCACAACAAAAUUGCCAUGGACUUUUGCCAUUCUAUGAAAAAAUUGCCAUGUUCAAGUUUAUGUUUUAAAAAUGGCACAAAAAGGGAGAAGUUGCCACGGAAAUAUAUUUAAAAAUGCCAUGGGUAUACAUGUAUAUUUAAGAUGCUACAUAGUAAAAUUUGCCAUAAUAUUUAAAUUAAAUUGUCAUGCUCUUUACAAUAAAUUUGCAAUGGCAACUUAAAAUAAAAUUUGCAAUGGCAACUUAGACUAAAAUUUGCCAUGUGAAAUAAAAGUAUUUUUGCCAUGGCAAAAAAUGGAGUUAAAUUUGCCAUUGCAAAAAUGGAGUAAAAAAUUGCCAUGGCAAAAAAUGGAUUAAUUUUUGCCAUGGAAAAAAUGGAGUACUUUUACCAUGGAAAUAAAUUAAAAAAUGCCAUGGCUAUACAAGUAUAUUUACCGUGCUACAUAGUUAAAUUUGCCAUGUUCUGGAAAUGUAAAUUUGCCAUAAUAUUUAAAACAAAAUUACCAUGUUUUUUACAAUAAAUUUCCCAUGGCAACUUAAACUAAAAAAUUGCCAUGGCAACUUAUACUAAAAUUUGCCGUGUGAAUAAAAGUAUUUUUGCGAUGGCAAAAAUAUGGAGGAAAAUUUGCUAAACAAGGGCAUGACAGAAGCUGUGGAUGUUCUUAACAUUCGGGAAAUUUUCCAUCUUCAUUUACAAAAAAAAUUGCCAUGUUUAAUUAAUAAAAUUUGCCAUGCAUCGUAAACUUAAUUUGCCAUGGUCUUUUACUAAAAAUUAACAUGGUCCGUGCUAAAAAAAAUGUUGCGAAGAAAAAUACAUGAAACUAAAAAAUGGCAUGAUCUGCAAACUAAAAUUGCCAUGAUCAAUUUCUAAACUUACCAAGAUCAAAUAAUAAAAAGUUGCCAUGGUUAAUCAAUGAUAAAUUGAAACUUGCCGUCAUCUAUAAACCAAAAAAAUGACAUGGUCAAUUACUAAAUUUACCAUGAUCAAAAUGAAAAAUAGAGUUCCCAUGGUUAAAUUAAGAAAUUUGCCAUGGUUCCUGAACUAAAUUUGCCAUGGUUAUUUGUGAAAAAAUUGCCUACCAUGAUCAAAUGAAAAAUAGAGUUGCCAUGGUUAAAUUAAGAAACUUGCCGUGGUUCCUGAACUAAAUUUGCCAUGGUUAUUUGCCAAAAAAUUGCCUUCGUCUUGGCAAUAAAAGUAAUUCGCCAUGUCAAAUAAAAAGUUUAAAUUGCCAUGGCAAUAAAAAAUGUUUACCCAUAUUAUGCUCGAUCAAUGAUUGUAGAAUUUGUUUCUUCUUCAAUUGCAUGGCCAUAUGUACUGAACCAAUCAACCAAACAUGCAUACAAGAACUCGAUGGAUAACUCUGACAGUAAAAUGAACAUGACAUUACUAAACCAAAACAGAGAUUGUCUCAAACGAUCGAUUAGUUUGAUUGAAUCAACAUGAAAGCAACAUCAGAUCAUGUGGAUUAGCAGCAUUUAUGAAUGUCUGAUAUGCUUGGCACUCUGUCCUACCACUUGUACUGAAUGGCAGUGCAAAAACACAAUUGACACAAAAGCAAGGCAAAUACUGAAACAACAUUGGUGGAAUGGAUUGAUCAAUCAGACUUGUGGCUUCAACAAAAAUCGCAGCGAUGAGAUGGAUGGAUGCAUCUUGUACCUCGAGCAAGCCCCAAAUGGAGGGGUCGACGGCUGACGACGCCAUUGAUACACUCGGAGCAGAAGCGGGAGCGGCUGCCACCGCCACUCGAUGUCCUCCAUAGCCGUCGACUCUCCUCAGCGACCGUGUGCGACGACGGGAGGACCCAGACCUUGGCCCAAUCACUAGCCGCUCCCUCUUCUCGAGUGCCGCGGCCGCCUCCAUAUCUACCGGCUACGUAGCCGCCCGAUGCAGCCAUCCACAUCCUCGCCGCCGUACUCGUGCGACCCGAC
rnacentral:lncRNA from 1 species